rnacentral:rRNA from 1 species
AUGUAUGGUUUUGAUGAGGGUAUGCUUAUCACGAUGGAUCUUGGUGAUCCUACAAUCGAGAAAGACAAUAUCGACAUUUGGGUCCUUGUGGAUACACUUCCAAUUCUUCCCCCAUCUUAUUUUCAUUCUUCCAAGAAUGUGCGGAAGAUGGUAGAUAAAAUCCACUACACCGAUGGCUUCGAAUUAACUUAUAAGGAGAAAAAUCAUCUAAUCGCAUUUUGUACCGAUCUUGAGAAUUACAAUGUCUACAAUCGAACUCCUCAACAUUAUGGUCAAUACGUGCCACUAGUGCACGCGUUGAACUACGGUAACUACAUGGAUACCCUGAUAACCCCGAAUGAUUGUGUGCCUCAUCUGAUGUAUAUGCAAGGUCGCCUUGAUGUUUUGAACAUACAACCAGGUCGUCCUACCGGAUUUCUAAAGGAAGUGGAGACAUGCCAAUCAAAGAAUGGAAAAAAUGUAUGGACAGUCGUAAGGAGCUUCUUGGAAGCAAAAGGAAGCGAAGCACAAGAAUUGGAGACAGGAUGA